GCCAUACAGAUUGAACCUGUCUUAGACUACAAUGAUGCCUGGACUCCGGGUUUAUUCGCUUGUCUUUUUCAUAUUAAUCCUCGCUGGUGAGGCGAAGGCGAACGAAAGGCCGUAUGCGGUGCUACAGAAUCAAAAUCUCGUGUUGCUCGUUAGUGUCCUGUCUGCUCUCCUGGUGGCUGUGAUAGUCAUGGCAGUGUGUGUGUACAAGCCGCUGAGAGCGCGGUGACUCAGUUGGUUCCUUUUAGUAAUUUUUGAUUUUAUGUAGUUUAUAUUAAGUUCUGGAGAGUUCCUGUUAUUUUUCUAUGUUUAAGAUGAAGUCUAAGUUAAUUUUAAGUUAAGUUUUAGUUUAUUCUAAAAGCCCUGAUGGUGAGCAGAUGAUGAAGAAAGAAGACCUGUGAAGGACGACUCGGUUCUUCAGUAUUGCAUUCAGGAGCUGACAUUACUCUUUUGAAAAAUAGCUUUAACGUAUAAUCAUGUGUAGUUUUAAGACGUAGACUUUUAGUUUUUUGUGAAAUUAAAUCAGGGAAACUAUUUAUGCAUUCUCAUGUGAAAUCCUGUUUUAGUCGUUUCCCUUCUCUAACCCACUUGACCCAACUUUAUCCAUGUUUCUCCUGCUUUACAUGUUGAACGUGUUUAAAAGUGUAAAUUAGUUAUACAUGUAGCUUAAGUGAUAUGAUCUGGAAUUGCUUCAUUUGGGCAUUUCUUGGCAUUUCAACAGCAUUAUGUGGCAAUAAACUAAAGUCAGCUGAUGACCUUAAGGUACUGAAUAACCAGGUUCUCACAUCUCGCAUGGAGGUUUUUUUCCUUCCCUGUGAGUGAGUGGUUCUGGGAGCAUGAAGAAUCAUUUUCACACAUGAUGGCAGGUUAAAAACGUUAUUGUUUUAUAUAUGAUUUGUUUUAUAAAUUGGUAUUCCACAACAUUAAAUGUAAUUAUCAAUGAAUAAACAGGUUGGUAAACCAAUAUCAGUGUUAAAGUACGGUUUCACAGUAACAUUAUAAGCCACGAUAGAAGGUUAGAGAAGAAUCUAAUCUCUAAUCUAAUCUCAUGAUGAGAGUUUAGACGAUGUGUAGCGCAGGAAAACUCUGACAUUUUAGCAUCACAGAUGGACUGCAGAAAUCUUAUCGUAUUAUGAUGAACCUUGAUGUCAUUACGAUGUUUAAUGUAUAUGGAGUCGAACAUGAGCCUGUGUUCCGAGUCAGGGAAAAGGCGGAGGAGCUCCGUGCGUCUGAUCACGUUUGUCUGAACUGCUGCUGUAUUCUUUACAUGUGCACUUUUUAUUUUAUAUAUUUAUU